rnacentral:rRNA from 1 species
AGAGUUUGAUUAUGGCUCAGAAUGAACGCUGGCGGCGUGCUUAUCACAUGCAAGUCGUACGAGAACGCUUCAGCUUGCUGAAGCUAGUAAAGUGGCGCACGGGUGAGUAACGCGUGGGUAAUCUACCUUCGAAUCGGGGAUAACUUCGCGAGAGCGGGGCUAAUACCGGAUAAUAUCUUUCAGUCUCCGGUCUUUAAGAUCAAAGGUGGCCUCUACAUGUAAGCUACCGUUUGGGGAUGAGCCCGCGUACCAUUAGCUUGUUGGUGGGGUAACAGCCCACCAAGGCUACGAUGGUUAGCUGGUCUGAGAGGAUGAUCAGCCACACUGGAACUGACACACGGUCCAGACUCCUACGGGAGGCAGCAGUGAGGAAUUUUGCGCAAUGGGGGAAACCCUGACGCAGCAACGCCGCGUGAGUGAUGAAGGCCUUCGGGUCGUAAAGCUCUGUCAAGUGGGAAGAACCUGGUCUAUGCCAAUACCAUAGAUCACUGACGGUAUCACUGAAGGAAGCACCGGCUAACUCCGUGCCAGCAGCCGCGGUAAUACGGGGGGUGCAAGCGUUAUUCGGAAUUACUGGGCGUAAAGAGCGCGUAGGCGGUCUUUUAAGUCAGGUGUGAAAGCCCGGGGCUCAACCCCGGAAGUGCACUUGAAACUAAGGGACUUGAGUAUGGGAGAGGGAAGUGGAAUUCCUGGUGCAGCGGUGAAAUGCGUAGAUAUCAGGAGGAACACCGGUGGCGAAGGUGACUUCCUGGACCAAUACUGACGCUGAGGCGCGAAGGCGUGGGGAGCAAACAGGAUUAGAUACCCUGGUAGUCCACGCAGUAAACGGUGAACACUAGGUGUAGCGGGUAUUGACCCCUGCUGUGCCGCAGCAAACGCAUUAAGUGUUCCGCCUGGGGAGUACGACCGCAAGGUUAAAACUCAAAUGAAUUGACGGGG